rnacentral:lncRNA from 1 species
CUCUCUCUCUCUUGCUUGCUGCCAUGCAAGAUGUGACUUUGCUCUUCAUUCACCUUCUGCCAUGAUUGUGAGGGCUCCCCAGCCAUGUAGAACUAAAUUGUGGAGCCACCAUCUCUAAACAUCCUGCCUAACAGGACUUCUAGAAGUUCGCCAAAGGUCUCCUCAACCCCAGUUCAGUGAUAUAAUUUUGGUUUCUGAAGAGUGUUGACAUUUAUGGAUCGUCUGGUUGGAGAACUAAAGAAAUUUCUGGCAAGUGGAUACCACAUUGACAAGGUGCUCAUCAGCUGGUACAAUGGACCUUUAUCUCAGAGUUUAAAUUUAUUUGCAAGUGAUCUGAAAAGUCCAAGGUUAAGAUGCAAGACUGGCUAGAAGGAUAAGCAGUGGGAACAACGGCACAGGAGAUGUCCUUAUGGGUCCCCAACACUUUCUCUUUUGCCCUUUGGCAGGUGCUAGUGACAGACAUGGGGCUUCACCAUGUUGCCCAGGGCUGUUCUCGACCUCCUGGAUUCAAGCAAUCCUUCCACCUCGGCCUCCCAAAGUGCUGGGAUUACAGGCAUGAGCCACCUCGCCACUGGCUGGACUCCUCCGAUUGACUUCUAUUCACCAGAAUGUUGAUGGCUCUGGUUCUCACCCUGUUGUUGUUUGCAUGGGAAUAUUCCCUAGAAAAGAGAUAAGGCCUCUCUCCUGCCUUUCUUCCACCCAGAUUAAGACUGUGAGAUGAAGACAGAAACAGCAUCCGCUGAGGCACCUUCUCUUCUGUCCCACUAGGAUAUAACCUCCGCCGGAGGGGACUGUCCUAGACUCUGAGGGGAAGAUUAUCAACUGCACAGGACUUUAUCAGGGAGAAUUCUUGGGGUCAACACUGCAGGAGGCAGACGAAGAAGCAGGACUGGGCAGAGGGAGACAUUGGGCUGUGAUGUCAUCACCACAGAUGCCACAGCUCAGCCUACAGGGAGUUCUGAAGAUAGGAUCACCCUUCAGAACUGUCUAGAUUUGGCUAGAGAGCCAGACCUUUGGAUCCCUUGGUGACCAAUAAUUGGAUGUAGAAAGAGGGAGUGAUGCUGAACAAGACCCAGUGUGUCUUCAAAUAGUAGGCUUACUCCUGGGAGGAACAAAUGAUUCGUGCAUCUGGGCAGGCCUCAAGGAAAUAGAGAUGGCAGAGGGGCGAGAGUCCUGCAGGAGUCCUCUGCGAAGCAGUGAGCAAGGGGAGGUUGAGAGAGAGGCCUGGGAGCCAGUGGACAUCUCUUUCUUUCUAGGUGGGAAUGUAAGGAGUGAGGGAGGAAAAUGCUUCUUGACAUCUACCUU